rnacentral:rRNA from 1 species
CCUACGGGUGGCAGCAGUGAGGAAUAUUGGUCAAUGGACGAGAGUCUGAACCAGCCAAGUAGCGUGAAGGAUGACUGCCCUCUGGGUUGUAAACUUCUUUUAUAUGGGAAUAAAAUGUUCCACGUGUGGGAUUUUGUAUGUACCAUAUGAAUAAGGAUCGGCUAACUCCGUGCCAGCAGCCGCGGUAAUACGGAGGGUCCGAGCGUUAUCCGGAUUUAUUGGGUUUAAAGGGAGCGUAGGUGGAUUGUUAAGUCAGUUGUGAAAGUUUGCGGCUCAACCGUAAAAUUGCAGUUGAAACUGGCAGUCUUGAGUGCAGUAGGGGUGGGCGGAAUUCGUGGUGUAGCGGUGAAAUGCUUAGAUAUCACGAAGAACUCCGAUUGCGAAGGCAGCUCACUGGACUGCAACUGACACUGAGGCUCGAAAGUGUGGGUAGCAAACAGGAUUAGAUACCCGGGUAGUC